ACAAAGUACAAUGUUACCCCUUUCACUACAUCUCAAAUAAACCUUAGCUGAUCUCCUGCCAACACAGCCGCUCCACUUAACUCCGGCGCUUGGAUUCCCGAUGACACCCACCAGCCGAACACCACCCCCCUGUCAGUUGCAGAGCUGACCACCACCAUCGGGUGGUGGUGAGUGACGUUUGGACCCAGAAGUGAGAGAGAUCAGAGAGAGAGGAGAGCCGACGUUGUUCGAGCGGCGACAAGGCUGAGAAGAGAGAGAGGCAUAUGGACGAGAGAGAAAGAAGGGCGGACAGCACCGCCGUACACGUCGGUGGCCGGCGGCGGUUCGGAAUGAUUUUCUGGCGACCCGCCAGAGAAGAUGAUGGUGGCGGCGGUUUUGUUUCUCCUGACAGCUUCACAGUAAACCCCGUUUCCUUUUUUAUAUCUUUUCGCCUCCUGUCGGUUUUGUUGUCCGAUGAUGAUGAUAGUGGUAUUAUUUUGAAGAUGAGAGGUUGAAAGGGACUGACAGUGCGUUGAUUUGUGUGGUUGUUUUGAGCUCGGGUCAGGUUAAGGAUCAAGGUCAGCCGCGGUUCAGGAUAACGUUUUGUGUUUUUGUGCUAGCUUUUGGCUAACUGUUUAAUUUAAAUUCGUCAGUUCAAAAAUUUGCAAAAUGUGGACUUUCUAAAAAUUUGCAAAAUGUGGUAUAGAGGAGAUUACCACCAACCUCCUCCUCCUGUUGUUGCCAGUGAUAAAAGGACUGACCAGCUAGACCUCAGUCUGCAGCCAAUAUAUUCAUGCUACUGGAGGCUUCAUGAUUUGUCCUCGGCUCUCGAGCAACCACAACAGUAUUAAUUACACUUGAUGACGAUCAGUAGCGGAGCAUGAACGAAAACGCGGUGGGGGCCGGACUCUCAAAAUCCGUAUGAAGGUUAUGGAUUCAUCAACAAAAACAUCGGUGUUCAAGGUAGUGGAGGACAUAAAAGAAAUAACGUUUUGGUGGGUGACGAAGUGGUCAAGGCUUCAACAGAAUCACUUUACAAAAGGGGUGUUCAUUUACUGGUAUUCCUUUUUGAUUUGUAUUAUGUUUCACUGGUAGUUUUUGUUGUACUGUGUCCCUCCUUUUAGCUUCUUGCCGAUAGAGGGGUAGUAUGUCUUUUUGGUUUACAAUAAAGUGCUUUGGUUGUCUAUUCAAAGAUAAAUAAAAAUGUAAUCCCAAUUUUAGACAUUUUUUUUGUUCUAAUGCUGGAUCCUUUAGCGAAUGCAUUUGAUUCUUGAAAUAUUUGUGCCCUGUGUGAUCUUUGACACUUUGAUUAAAAUUUUUAUGUUACAUUUUAGUGAGAAAUAUGAUAUCCACAUUUUUUAUAUUACAUUGAAUGCCUCUUCGUGUGAUUUACUUUGCUUUGACAAAGUGAUUGGGCAAUAUACUCAUGCUAUGAUGCUAGGAGAUGGUCGCCUAAUAUCACAUGGCAACCAGUAGGUUUGUAAUCUGUUUUGGGUUUGUUUUCCUCUAGGUGAAAUGCUCUAAAGGAACCACAAAACUCCACCAAAUCUUGCAAAGCUAGGAUGAGAG